rnacentral:rRNA from 1 species
CUAAGCGUACACGGUGGAUGCCCUGGCAGUCAGAGGCGAUGAAGGGCGUGCUAAUCUGCGAUAAGCGCCGGUAAGGUGAUAUGAACCGUUAUAACCGGCGAUACCCGAAUGGGGAAACCCAGUGUGAUUCGUCACACUAUCAUUAACUGAAUCCAUAGGUUAAUGAGGCGAACCGGGGGAACUGAAACAUCUAAGUACCCCGAGGAAAAGAAAUCAACCGAGAUUCCCCCAGUAGCGGCGAGCGAACGGGGAGGAGCCCAGAGCCUGAAUCAGCAUGUGUGUUAGUGGAAGCGUCUGGAAAGGCGCGCGAUACAGGGUGACAGCCCCGUACACAAAAGCGCAUGUGCUGUGAGCUCGAUGAGUAGGGCGGGACACGUGGUAUCCUGUCUGAAUAUGGGGGGACCAUCCUCCAAGGCUAAAUACUCCUGACUGACCGAUAGUGAACCAGUACCGUGAGGGAAAGGCGAAAAGAACCCCGGCGAGGGGAGUGAAAAAGAACCUGAAACCGUGUACGUACAAGCAGUGGGAGCCCCACCACUAAGCCAGUGGUGAACUCCACAUCCGCAUCCUUUGCUGAGGAUACGGUUAACGGAGCGAAAGCGACGUUCAACCGCAAAACAAGCAGAGGGGGCUUAGUGGUGGGGUGACUGCGUACCUUUUGUAUAAUGGGUCAGCGACUUAUAUUCUGUAGCAAGGUUAACCGUAUAGGGGAGCCGGAGGGAAACCGAGUCUUAAUUGGGCGUUAAGUUGCAGGGUAUAGACCCGAAACCCGGUGAUCUAGCCAUGGGCAGGUUGAAGGUUGGGUAACACUAACUGGAGGACCGAACCGACUAAUGUUGAAAAAUUAGCGGAUGACCUGUGGCUGGGGGUGAAAGGCCAAUCAAACCGGGAGAUAGCUGGUUCUCCCCGAAAGCUAUUUAGGUAGCGCCUCGUGAAUUCAUCUCCGGGGGUAGAGCACUGUUUCGGCUAGGGGGCCAUCCCGGCUUACCAACCCGAUGCAAACUGCGAAUACCGGAGAAUGUUAUCACGGGAGACACACGGCGGGUGCUAACGUCCGUCGUGAAGAGGGAAACAACCCAGACCGCCAGCUAAGGUCCCAAAGUCAUGGUUAAGUGGGAAACGAUGUGGGAAGGCCCAGACAGCCAGGAUGUUGGCUUAGAAGCAGCCAUCAUUUAAAGAAAGCGUAAUAGCUCACUGGUCGAGUCGGCCUGCGCGGAAGAUGUAACGGGGCUAAACCAUGCACCGAAGCUGCGGCAGCGAACGUAUCACCCAAGACAACUUUACGGAGUUGACGAUUGACGGAGCGAAGCGACGUCAAAGCGUUCAUUAAAGUCGAGUUGGCUUAGGGAUACGUUCGUUGGGUAGGGGAGCGUUCUGUAAGCCUGUGAAGGUGUGUCGUGAGGCAUGCUGGAGGUAUCAGAAGUGCGAAUGCUGACAUAAGUAACGAUAAAGCGGGUGAAAAGCCCGCUCGCCGGAAGACCAAGGGUUCCUGUCCAACGUUAAUCGGGGCAGGGUGAGUCGACCCCUAAGGCGAGGCCGAAAGGCGUAGUCGAUGGGAAACGGGUUAAUAUUCCCGUACUUGGUGUUACUGCGAAGGGGGGACGGAGAAGGCUAUGUUGGCCGGGCGACGGUUGUCCCGGUUUAAGCGUGUAGGUGUGUGUUCCAGGUAAAUCCGGUUCACUUUAACACUGAGGCGUGACGACGAGGCACUACGGUGCUGAAGCAACAAAUGCCCUGCUUCCAGGAAAAGCCUCUAAGCAUCAGGUAACACGAAAUCGUACCCCAAACCGACACAGGUGGUCAGGUAGAGAAUACCAAGGCGCUUGAGAGAACUCGGGUGAAGGAACUAGGCAAAAUGGUGCCGUAACUUCGGGAGAAGGCACGCUGACACGUAGGUGAAGUGAUUUACUCAUGGAGCUGAAGUCAGUCGAAGAUACCAGCUGGCUGCAACUGUUUAUUAAAAACACAGCACUGUGCAAACACGAAAGUGGACGUAUACGGUGUGACGCCUGCCCGGUGCCGGAAGGUUAAUUGAUGGGGUCAGCGUAAGCGAAGCUCCUGAUCGAAGCCCCGGUAAACGGCGGCCGUAACUAUAACGGUCCUAAGGUAGCGAAAUUCCUUGUCGGGUAAGUUCCGACCUGCACGAAUGGCGUAAUGAUGGCCAGGCUGUCUCCACCCGAGACUCAGUGAAAUUGAACUCGCUGUGAAGAUGCAGUGUACCCGCGGCAAGACGGAAAGACCCCGUGAACCUUUACUAUAGCUUGACACUGAACAUUGAGCCUUGAUGUGUAGGAUAGGUGGGAGGCUUUGAAGUGUGGACGCCAGUCUGCAUGGAGCCGACCUUGAAAUACCACCCUUUAAUGUUUGAUGUUCUAACGUGGACCCGUAAUCCGGGUUGCGGACAGUGUCUGGUGGGUAGUUUGACUGGGGCGGUCUCCUCCUAAAGAGUAACGGAGGAGCACGAAGGUUGGCUAAUCCUGGUCGGACAUCAGGAGGUUAGUGCAAUGGCAUAAGCCAGCUUGACUGCGAGCGUGACGGCGCGAGCAGGUGCGAAAGCAGGUCAUAGUGAUCCGGUGGUUCUGAAUGGAAGGGCCAUCGCUCAACGGAUAAAAGGUACUCCGGGGAUAACAGGCUGAUACCGCCCAAGAGUUCAUAUCGACGGCGGUGUUUGGCACCUCGAUGUCGGCUCAUCACAUCCUGGGGCUGAAGUAGGUCCCAAGGGUAUGGCUGUUCGCCAUUUAAAGUGGUACGCGAGCUGGGUUUAGAACGUCGUGAGACAGUUCGGUCCCUAUCUGCCGUGGGCGCUGGAGAACUGAGGGGGGCUGCUCCUAGUACGAGAGGACCGGAGUGGACGCAUCACUGGUGUUCGGGUUGUCAUGCCAAUGGCACUGCCCGGUAGCUAAAUGCGGAAGAGAUAAGUGCUGAAAGCAUCUAAGCACGAAACUUGCCCCGAGAUGAGUUCUCCCUGAGACUUAGAGUCUCCUGAAGGAACGUUGAAGACGACGACGUUGAUAGGCCGGGUGUGUAAGCGCAGCGAUGCGUUGAGCUAACCGGUACUAAUGAACCGUGAGGCUUAACCUUACAACGCCGAAG